UUUUGGGCGAACUACAAUAGCCAACUUAAAAUCUGGUAAUAAUCUGCUAUGGCUGCACACUACAUUUGCCUUCUUAUAUCUGUUACUGACUGUGUACAGCAUGAGGAGACACACAUCAAAGAUGCACUACAAGGAGGAUGACUUGGUGAAACGCACUUUAUUCAUUAACGGGAUCACAAAAUAUGCAGAAGAGAGUCAAAUAAA